UGAGGAAUAUUGGUCAAUGGACGAGAGUCUGAACCAGCCAAGUAGCGUGAAGGAUGACUGCCCUAUGGGUUGUAAACUUCUUUUAUACGGGAAUAAAGUGAGGCACGUGUGCCUUUUUGUAUGUACCGUAUGAAUAAGGAUCAGCUAACUCCGUGCCAGCAGCCGCGGUAAUACGGAGGAUCCGAGCGUUAUCCGGAUUUAUUGGGUUUAAAGGGAGCGUAGGCGGACGCUUAAGUCAGUUGUGAAAGUUUGCGGCUCAACCGUAAAAUUGCAGUUGAUACUGGGUGUCUUGAGUACAGUAGAGGCAGGCGGAAUUCGUGGUGUAGCGGUGAAAUGCUUAGAUAUCACGAAGAGCUCCGAUUGCGAAGGCAGCUUGCUGGACUGUAACUGACGCUGAUGCUCGAAAGUGUGGGUAUCAAACAGGAUUAGAUACCCUGGUAGUCCACACAGUAAACGAUGAAUACUCGCUGUUUGCGAUAUACAGUAAGCGGCCAAGCGAAAGCGUUAAGUAUUCCACCUGGGGAGUACGCCGGCAACGGUGAAACUCAAAGGAAUUGACGGGGGCCCGCACAAGCGGAGGAACAUGUGGUUUAAUUCGAUGAUACGCGAGGAACCUUACCCGGGCUUGAAUUGCAACUGAAUGAUGUGGAGACAUGUCAGCCGCAAGGCAGUUGUGAAGGUGCUGCAUGGUUGUCGUCAGCUCGUGCCGUGAGGUGUCGGCUUAAGUGCCAUAACGAGCGCAACCCUUAUCGAUAGUUACCAUCAGGUUAUGCUGGGGACUCUGUCGAGACUGCCGUCGUAAGAUGUGAGGAAGGUGGGGAUGACGUCAAAUCAGCACGGCCCUUACGUCCGGGGCUACACACGUGUUACAAUGGGGGGUACAGAAGGCAGCUACACGGCGACGUGAUGCUAAUCCCGAAAGCCUCUCUCAGUUCGGAUUGGAGUCUGCAACCCGACUCCAUGAAGCUGGAUUCGCUAGUAAUCGCGCAUCAGCCACGGCGCGGUGAAUACGUUCCC
rnacentral:rRNA from 1 species